rnacentral:lncRNA from 1 species
GCUGCUGCGGCGAGGCCCCCCAGCCUCCAGCGGGCCCCCACGUGGAGCUCUGCGGAGGAAGCUGGGAGCCCUGUGUCUUUGGUGCUCCCCUGGCCCCGCAGAGCCAAGCCAGCGGGAGACAACCGGGUCUGGGCACAGCCCCACGGCCUGUGGGAGGCCCUGCUUCUUGCAAACCAAGGCAUCGAACCCUGGAGGCUGGCUGCGGGGAGGCUGAGUGAACGGAGGCUGCCCACGCCAUGGACGGGUCUCAAACACAUGGCGCUGAGCGAGAGAAGACGAAGGAUGAUUUCUAUCCAUACACGCUCCACGUGCAGCUCUUCCGUUUGCUCAUCAGUAUUCGGAACCUACCAAAGGCUGCUGCCACCUGGAGUCAUUACAUCACCAUCGGAACAGACCCUCGUGUCGUGUGAGCAAUGGUUGGCUUUUUCAAAGCACUUUCACCUGCAUUAUCUCAUCUCCCAUCCCACGGAGCAGACGAGCACAAACCCCCGUGGAGACUAGGCCUGUUUUACAGAUAAGGUUUCCACCGGCAGUGAGCCUUGGGUGGUGGACAUUUUCACAGCAUACAUGGAAACCGUCAAGUUCCAAAGCUUCACUAAGCAGCUUGGAGUUGCCUGCAUCAGCCUGAGAUUCCCUGCCAGGUGGGGUAAGCAUUGUUAUGUUAUGUUACGUUAUUUGCUUUUUAGAGCUGCAUGGGGAGCAUACAGAGGUUCCCAGGCUAGGGGUCGAAUUAGAACUACAGCUGCUGGUCUAUACCACAACCCCAGCAAUGCUGGAUCCUUAACCCACUGAGCAAGGCCAAGGAUCGAACCUGCAUCCUCAUGGAUACGAGUCAGAUUUGUUUCCACUGAGCCACGACAGAAACUCCAGCACUGUUCUUCUCUAGAUUUCUUGGCAAAGGGGAGCCAAGAAGGGUCCUUCGACUGCUGAGUGGUUGGAGGUGAGACCACUGCAAACACUUUAUUAGUUAGGCUGACCUGGCCUGACCAGCAGUCCUUUGGGCAACAAAAUCUCUUGCCUCCCACCUGCCCUCUCUGGGUGUCUGCGAGCCACGCUGGGACCUCUAGUGCCCGAUACCCACCCAGGCUCCAGGCUGACAGUGGCUUACAGGACCCCCCCCCAACUCAGCACACUUGCUUCUCAAGUUAACUUCCUUGUUCAAAUUAGAUUAAUUUGAGUUUUUUAUUCGUUCUUUAAAAUUGACUUAGUGAUGGAAGUAGAACCUAUAGUAGAAAAGAAGGGAGGUCCUGUUGUAGCUCAGCAGUAAUGAACCUGACAAGUAACCAUGAGGACAUGAGUUCGAUCCCUGGUCCCGCUCAGUGGGUUAAGGCUCCAGUGUUGCCGUGAGCUGUGGUGUAGGUCACAGACAUGGCUCGGAUCUGGUGUUGCUGUGAUGUAGGCCAGCAGCUACAACUCUGAUUAAGAGCCCUAGUCUGGAAACCUCCAUAUGCCACAGGUGUGGCCCUAAAAACAAAAAAAAUAAUCAGCAUGGUUAGAGCCAGAGUUCUCCCAUCCCAGU